rnacentral:rRNA from 1 species
GCGAGUCAUUGUAGCAAUACAAGGCAGACGGCUCAGUAACGCGUAGUCAACCUACCCCAUGGUCGGGAACAACCUCGGGAAACUGAGUAUAAUGCCCGAUAGAACACUAUACCCGGAAUGGUUUGUGUUUCAAAUGAUUUAUUGCCGUAGGAUGGGACUGCGGCCUAUCAGUUUGUUGGUGAGGUAAUGGCCCACCAAGACUAUUACAGGUACGGGCUCUGAGAGGAGUGGCCCGGAGAUGGGUACUGAGACACGGACCCAGGCCCUAUGGGGCGCAGCAGGCGAGAAAACUUUGCAAUGUGCGAAAGCACGACAAGGUUAAUCCGAGUGGUUUCUGCUAAAGGAACCUUUUGACAGUCCUAGAAACACUGUUGAAUAAGGGGUGGGCAAGUUCUGGUGUCAGCCGCCGCGGUAAAACCAGCACCUCAAGUGGUCAGGAUGAUUAUUGGGCCUAAAGCAUCCGUAGCCGGCUCAGUAAGUUUUCGGUUAAAUCUGUACGCUCAACGUACAGGCUGCCGGGAAUACUGCAGAGCUAGGGAGUGGGAGAGGUAGACGGUACUCGGGAGGAAGUGGUAAAAUGCUUUGAUCUUUCGAUGACCACCUGUGGCGAAGGCGGUCUACCAGAACACGUCCGACGGUGAGGGAUGAAAGCUGGGGGAGCAAACCGGAUUAGAUACCCGGGUAGUCCCAGCUGUAAACUAUGCAAACUCAGUGAUGCACUGGCUUGUG